GAAAUGCUAUCAAAGAGAACUUCAGGUUAUGUAUAUAACCCUAGUUCUCUGGAGUAGCAUUAGU
ensembl:miRNA